AGAAAUAUGUCUGAUAAAAGAGUUACUUUGAUAGAGUAAAACAUAGAGGCUAAAAUCCUCUUAUUUCUA
rnacentral:tRNA from 3 species